rnacentral:rRNA from 1 species
UACGGAGGGUGCAAACGUUGCUCGGAAUCAUUGGGCGUAAAGCGCACGUAGGCGGCCUGACAUGUCGGGUGUGAAAUCCCUCGGCUUAACCGAGGAAGUGCAUUCGAAACUAGCAGGCUUGAAUACUCAAGAGGGUCUCGGAAUUCCCGGUGUAGCGGUGAAAUGCGCAGAUAUCGGGAAGAACACCUAUGGCGAAGGCAGCUCUCUGGGACGGUACUGACGCUGAGACGCGAAAGCGUGGGGAGCGAACAGG